AAAUUGAAGAGUUUGAUCAUGGCUCAGAUUGAACGCUGGCGGCAGGCCUAACACAUGCAAGUCGAACGGUAACAGGAAGAAGCUUGCUUCUUUGCUGACGAGUGGCGGACGGGUGAGUAAUGUCUGGGAAACUGCCUGAUGGAGGGGGAUAACUACUGGAAACGGUAGCUAAUACCGCAUAAUGUCGCAAGACCAAAGAGGGGGACCUUCGGGCCUCUUGCCAUCGGAUGUGCCCAGAUGGGAUUAGCUAGUAGGUGGG
rnacentral:rRNA from 1 species